rfam:Halobacterium hubeiense strain JI20-1 genome assembly, chromosome: I
GGGCACGUAGCUCAGUUCGGACAGAGCGUUCGGCUUCUAACCGAAAUGCCGGGGGUUCGAAUCCCUCCGUGCCCG